rnacentral:lncRNA from 1 species
GAUCAAUGCCGACGUUGUUUGAAGAUUUUCGAUCGUCGAUGUGUUGAUUUGCCUUUUUUGUUCAUGACCGUAGGUCUUUCUGAGGCCAUUUGAGUUUGAUGCUUCCUCCCAAUGCUCGAGCUUGAGGACCCGAACUUCUCAUUACUUUGAGGAAGUCGAUUUCUUCUCGGCCUGUGUCGAGUGCCCUUUUAGUGACUGAGGAUUUUUUAAUAGGAGUAUCCCUCCUCGUUGAGGUGAGGUCCCUUGUAUCUUUGAUGUAGUCUAUUUUUCAUUUAUCGC